rnacentral:rRNA from 1 species
AUUACCCGCUGAACUUAAGCAUAUCAAUAAGCGGAGGAAAAGAAACCAACAGGGAUUGCCCCAGUAACGGCGAGUGAAGCGGCAACAGCUCAAAUUUGAAAUCUGGCCCCCAGGGCCCGAGUUGUAAUUUGCAGAGGAUGCUUUUGGCGCGGUGCCUUCCGAGUUCCCUGGAACGGGACGCCAUAGAGGGUGAGAGCCCCGUCUGGUCGGACGCCUAGCCUGUGUAAAGCUCCUUCGACGAGUCGAGUAGUUUGGGAAUGCUGCUCUAAAUGGGAGGUAUAUGUCUUCUAAAGCUAAAUACCGGCCAGAGACCGAUAGCGCACAAGUAGAGUGAUCGAAAGAUGAAAAGCACUUUGAAAAGAGGGUUAAAUAGUACGUGAAAUUGUUGAAAGGGAAGCGCUUGUGACCAGACUUGGGCCCGGUGGAUCAUCCAGCGUUCUCGCUGGUGCACUCCGCCGGGUUCAGGCCAGCAUCAGUUCGCCGCGGGGGAAAAAGGCUUCGGGAACGUGGCUCCUACGGGAGUGUUAUAGCCCGUUGCAUAAUACCCUGGGGCGGACUGAGGUUCGCGCUCCGCAAGGAUGCUGGCGUAAUGGUCAUCAGCGACCCGUCUUGAAACACGGACCAAGGAGUCGUCUUCGUAUGCGAGUGUUCGGGUGUAAAACCCCUACGCGUAAUGAAAGUGAACGCAGGUGAGAGCUUCGGCGCAUCAUCGACCGAUCCUGAUGUUCUCGGAUGGAUUUGAGUAAGAGCAUACGGGGCCGGACCCGAAAGAAGGUGAACUAUGCCUGUAUAGGGUGAAGCCAGAGGAAACUCUGGUGGAGGCUCGCAGCGGUUCUGACGUGCAAAUCGAUCGUCAAAUAUGGGCAUGGGGGCGAAAGACUAAUCGAACCUUCUAGUAGCUGGUUUCCGCCGAAGUUUCCCUCAGGAAAU